rnacentral:misc_RNA from 1 species
AAGUCGUAACAAGGUUUCCGUAGGUGAACCUGCGGAAGGAUCAUUAUUGAAUAAACUUGGUGGGGUUGUUGCUGGCCUCCAGUAGAGGGCAUGUGCACACCUUCCUUUGUUUUUUCUUUCACCACCUGUGCACAUUUUGUAGACUUGGAUAAUCUUUCGAGGCAACUCGGUUGAGAGGCUUGUUACCAGUAUUUUGGUGGCUGCCUUUGUGUUUCCAGUCUAUGUUCUUCAUAAUAUACACCAUUGUAUGUCAUAGAAUGUAUUAUUUUUGGGCUCUUGAAAGGCCUAUAAAUUGCAUACAACUUUCAACAACGGAUCUCUUGGCUCUC